rnacentral:tRNA from 1 species
GGCCCAGUGGUGUAAUGGCAACAUACUCCAAGUUACACCGAAGAGGUGUCAGGAGAGUAGGAGGUUCGAAUCCUUCCUGGGCUA